GAGUUUGAUCAUGGCUCAGAUUGAACGCUGGCGGCAGGCCUAACACAUGCAAGUCGAGCGGCAGCACGGGUACUUGUACCUGGUGGCGAGCGGCGGACGGGUGAGUAAUGCCUAGGAAUCUGCCUGGUAGUGGGGGAUAACGCUCGGAAACGGACGCUAAUACCGCAUACGUCCUACGGGAGAAAGCAGGGGACCUUCGGGCCUUGCGCUAUCAGAUGAGCCUAGGUCGGAUUAGCUAGUUGGUGAGGUAAUGGCUCACCAAGGCGACGAUCCGUAACUGGUCUGAGAGGAUGAUCAGUCACACUGGAACUGGGACACGGUCCAGACUCCUACGGGAGGCAGCAGUGGGGAAUAUUGGACAAUGGGCGAAAGCCUGAUCCAGCCAUGCCGCGUGUGUGAAGAAGGUCUUCGGAUUGUAAAGCACUUUAAGUUGGGAGGAAGGGCAGUAAAUUAAUACUUUGCUGUUUUGACGUUACCGACAGAAUAAGCACCGGCUAACUCUGUGCCAGCAGCCGCGGUAAUACAGAGGGUGCAAGCGUUAAUCGGAAUUACUGGGCGUAAAGCGCGCGUAGGUGGUUUGUUAAGUUGGAUGUGAAAUCCCCGGGCUCAACCUGGGAACUGCAUUCAAAACUGACAAGCUAGAGUAUGGUAGAGGGUGGUGGAAUUUCCUGUGUAGCGGUGAAAUGCGUAGAUAUAGGAAGGAACACCAGUGGCGAAGGCAACCACCUGGACUGAUACUGACACUGAGGUGCGAAAGCGUGG
rnacentral:rRNA from 1 species